GGAUUUGCCAAUGGGGGAACCCUGAUGCAGCCUGCCGCGUGUGUGAAGAAGGCCUUCGGGUUGUAAAGCACUUUCAGUAGGGAGGAAGGCAGUGUCGUUAAUAGCGGCAUUGUUUGACGUUACCUACAGAAGAAGCACCGGCUAACUCCGUGCCAGCAGCCGCGGUAAUACGGAGGGUGCCGAGCGUUAAUCGGAAUUACUGGGCGUAAAGCGCAUGCAGGCGGCUUGUUAAGCCAAGAUGUGAAAGCCCGGGGCUCAACCUCGGAAUAGCAUUUGGAACUGGCAGGCUAGAGUCUUGUAGAGGGGGGUAGAAUUUAGGUGUAGCGGUGAAAUGCGUAGAGAUCUGAAGGAAUACCGGUGGCGAAGGCGGCCCCCUGGACAAAGACUGACGCUCAGAUGCGCAAAGCGUGGGGAGCAAACAGGAUUAGAUACCCUGGUAGUCCACGCCCGUAAACGAUGUCUACUUGGAGGCUGUUCUUGAGGAGUGGCUUUCGGAGCUAACGCGUUAAGUAGACCGCCUGGGGAGUACGGUCGCAAGAUUAAAACUCAAAUGAAUUGACGGGGGCCCGCACAAGCGGUGGAGCAUGUGGUUUAAUUNGAUGCAACGCGAAGAACCUUACCUACUNUUUACAUCCAGAGGUCNNNUCAUAAAGCUGUGGUNNGUCGGAGGUGUCGCAGU
rnacentral:rRNA from 1 species